rnacentral:rRNA from 1 species
ACACGUAGGGGCCUGACGUUGUUCGGAAUCAUUGGGCGUAAAGGGCGCGCAGGCGGCCGUCCAAGUCCGGUGUUAAAUGGUCGGGCUCAACCCGAUCAUGCGCUGGAAACUGGGCGGCUUGAGUCCCGUAGGGGAUGCCGGAAUUCCAGGUGUAGGGGUGAAAUCUGUAGAUAUCUGGAAGAACACCGAUGGCGAAGGCAGGCAUCUGGCCGGAGACUGACGCUGAGGCGCGAAGGCGCGGGGAGCGAACAGGUUUAGAUACCCUGGUAGUCCGCGUAGUAAACGAUGCGCACCAGGUGUCGGGCGGCAGCGCCCGGUACCGGAGCUAACGCGAUGAGUGCGCCGCCUGGGGAGUAUGCCCGCAAGGGUGAAACUCAAAUGAAUUGACGGGG